rnacentral:rRNA from 1 species
UACGAAGGUGGCUAGCGUUGUUCGGAUUUACUGGGCGUAAAGGGCGCGUAGGCGGAUUUUUAAGUCGGGGGUGAAAUCCCGGAGCUCAACUCCGGAACUGCCUUCGAUACUGAAAGUCUGGAGCACGGUAGAGGUGAGUGGAAUUCCGAGUGUAGAGGUGAAAUUCGUAGAUAUUCGGAGGAACACCAGUGGCGAAGGCGGCUCACUGGACCGUUGCUGACGCUGAGGCGCGAAAGCGUGGGGAGCGAACGGG